UGAGAGCAGAAGUGAGGCGCCAGCCUGCUUCAGGCUUGAGGACUUUUCUUGCGCACCUUACCUUUUGCCAGCCUGAUGCCAGACAAUGUAACCAGAACUCCAUGUCUUACAAGGGAACUGUUCCCCAUAUAGCAGCCUGCAAUGUCAAAGAACAGAAAGAAGCGCUAAUGUAAAAAGAAAGCUCUUAUCUGUCUACCUGGAGGGAUGCUCAAAUGUUACUUCCUGCCAGUGUCUCCUCUGGCCCCAUCCUGAAGCUCACAGCCUGGACCUGAGCAUCCCCAAGGUCGCCAUCAGUUCAGUGUUGGGACCCCAGGAUGAUUGGGAGAGUCAAAUGUCCACCUCGAUGGAGCCACACCCCAUCUCUACUACUACUACGUAGCUCAGCUCCUACACAUGGAUUUCUGGCUGUGAAGAGGGUGUUUCCAACAACUGAGGAGAGUUGGAGACUUGGGAUCUCAGUGGACUGUCAUUGCCCCACCCCGUCAACACUCCUUCCCAUGCAGUAGGGACGGACCACGGACACUUCAGUAGGCUCCUACUCUGGUGAGCUGCACCUGGCUGAUGGGAAAGGUGUCUUGUACUGAGUUGAUGAGGAAGGGGUGCGUCUUGCUGGCUGUGGCAGCAGGGCUGGCAUCCUUCUGUAUGGAAAGCUCCAAGAAAGAUAAGAAAGGCUCGUCAACCUCUCCCCUGUCAGCAGCCCACAGGAAACACCACAGACUCACACUCCACUCAAACACUCCCUCUUUAUCUC
rnacentral:lncRNA from 1 species